rnacentral:sRNA from 1 species
AGCCUGGGGAAGGAGGGAAGAGUAACCCUUCAUCUUUGGGACUAGUCGUCUUGUUUGCCUAGACUACAGUUUUCAAGUAUUUAAGGACCAUUUAUUUCAAAAGGAAUUACAGUUUGAAAGGCUGACCCGAGAGCUGGAGGCUGAACGGCAGAUCGUAGCCAGCCAGCUGGAGCGAUGCAAGCUCGGAUCCGAGACCGGCAGCAUGAGCAGCAUGAGCUGGGUCCCGAGCCUCAUACAGCAGCCAGCAUGGGCACCUGGGCCCAGAGCUGCGGGCCCUGCAGUCCCCAGAACACCACAUAGAUCCCAUCUACGAAGACCGCGUCUAUCAGAAGCCCCCUAUGAGGAGUCUCAGCCAGAGCCAGGGGGACCCUCUGCCGCCAGCACACACUGGCACCUACCGCACGAGCACAGCCCCAUCUUCCCCUGGUGUCGACUCCGUCCCCUUGCAGCGCACAGGCAGCCAGCACGGCCCACAGAAUGCCGCCGCGGCCACCUUCCAGAGGGCCAGCUAUGCCGCCGGCCCAGCCUCCAAUUACGCGGACCCCUACCGACAGCUGCAGUAUUGUCCCUCUGUUGAGUCUCCAUACAGCAAAUCCGGCCCUGCUCUCCCG